rnacentral:tRNA from 1 species
GUUUCCGUAGCUUAAUGAUAAAGCACCUCGAUAAAAAGAGGAGGUUGCGAGUUUAAAUCUUGUCGGAAAUUUA